rnacentral:rRNA from 1 species
AACGAACGCUGGCGGCAUGCCUAACACAUGCAAGUCGAACGAGAUCUUCGGGUCUAGUGGCGCACGGGUGCGUAACGCGUGGGAAUCUGCCCUUUGGUUUGGAAUAACAGUUGGAAACGACUGCUAAUACCGGAUGAUGACGCAAGUCCAAAGAUUUAUCGCCAGAGGAUGAGCCCGCGUAGGAUUAGCUAGUUGGUGUGGUAAAGGCGCACCAAGGCGACGAUCCUUAGCUGGUCUGAGAGGAUGAUCAGCCACACUGGGACUGAGACACGGCCCAGACUCCUACGGGAGGCAGCAGUGGGGAAUAUUGGACAAUGGGCGAAAGCCUGAUCCAGCAAUGCCGCGUGAGUGAUGAAGGCCUUAGGGUUGUAAAGCUCUCUUACCCGGGAUGAUAAUGACAGUACCGGGAGAAUAAGCUCCGGCUAACUCCGUGCCAGCCGCCGCGGUAA